UGAGUUUCUGAAGGUGGGUCUUCAUCCAGACCACUUCACGCUCCCUUCCAUCUUUAAAGCUUGUACAAGACUUGGAGAUUCUCAUUUGGGGAAGAAUCUCCAUACGUGGAUAUUUAAACUUGGGUUAGGAGACCAUGUUGUUGUGGAGAGUUCAGUACUGGGUCUGUACACUAAAUGUGGGAACCUAAUCAAUGCCCAUCGGUUGUUUGUCAAAAUGUCUCACAGGGAUGUCGUCAUCUGGAAUUCGAUGAUUUCAGGAUUUGGAAGAGCUGGAGAUCUGACAGAAGUGUUUGGUUGUUUUAGGAAAAUGCAGCGUGAAAGAGUGAAGAUUGAUUUGAGAACAGUUGCGAGCAUCCUAAAUGCCGGUGGAAGAGGACGACACCUGAUGAAAGGGAAAGAGAUACAUGGGCAAGUAAUUAAGAAUGUAGCUUUUAAUGGAGAUGUUUUCAUUUGGAAUUC